rnacentral:rRNA from 1 species
AUUGAACGCUGGCGGCAGGCUUAACACAUGCAAGUCGAGCGGAGGUGAGGUGCUUGCACCUUAUCUUAGCGGCGGACGGGUGAGUAAUGCUUAGGAAUCUGCCAUUUAGUGGGGGACAACAUUCCGAAAGGAAUGCUAAUACCGCAUACGUCCUACGGGAGAAAGCAGGGGAUCUUCGGACCUUGCGCUAAAUGAUGAGCCUAAGUCGGAUUAGCUAGUUGGUGGGGUAAAGGCCUACCAAGGCGACGAUCUGUAGCGGGUCUGAGAGGAUGAUCCGCCACACUGGGACUGCGACACGGCCCAGACUCCUACGGGAGGCAGCAGUGGGGAAUAUUGGACAAUGGGCGGAAGCCUGAUCCAGCCAUGCCGCGUGUGUGAAGAAGGCCUUUUGGUUGUAAAGCACUUUAAGCGAGGAGGAGGCUACUAGUAUUAAUACUACUGGAUAGUGGACGUUACUCGCAGAAUAAGCACCGGCUAACUCUGUGCCAGCCGCCGCCGUAAUAC